CACCUCUAGCAUCACUAGUAUUAGAGGCACUGCCUGCCCAGUGACACACGUUUAACGGCCGCGGUACCCUGACCGUGCAAAGGUAGCAUAAUCACUUGUUCUUUAAAUGGGGACUCGCAUGAAAGGCACCACGAGGGUUUAACUGUCUCUUACUUUUAACCAGUGAAAUUGACCUGCCCGCGAAGAGGCGGGCAUAAAAUAAUAAGACGAGAAGACCCUAUGGAGCUUUAAUCUAUUAAUGCAAUCAAAAAUUACACAAACCCGCGGACCUUUAAACUACCGACACCUGCAUUAAAAAUUUUGGUUGGGGCGACCUCGGAGCACAACAAAACCUCCGAAUAAUACAUGCUAAGACCACACAAGUCAAAGCGAACUAACACUUACAAUUGAUCCAAUAAUUUGAUCAACGGAACAAGUUACCCUAGGGAUAACAGCGCAAUUCUAUUCUAGAGUCCAUAUCGACAAUAGAGCUUACGACCUCGAUGUUGGAUCAGGACAUCCUAAUGGUGCAGCAGCUAUCAAGGGUUCGUUUGUUCAACGAUUAAAGUCCU
rnacentral:rRNA from 1 species